rnacentral:misc_RNA from 1 species
AACAUCGCGCACCUGCGGGAACCUGCGGAGGGAUCAUUACAGAGUUGCAAAACUCCCUAAACCAUUGUGAACGUUACCUAAACCGUUGCUUCGGCGGGCGGCCCGGGUCCUUCCCGGCGCCCAUCGGCCCUCGCGGGCGCCCGCCGGAGGUAAACCAAACUAUUGCAUUGUAUGGCCUCUCUGAGUCUUCUGUACUGAAUAAGUCAAAACUUUCAACAACGGAUCUCAGAUCGGAAGAGC